GACGAACGCUGGCGGCGUGCUUAACACAUGCAAGUCGAGCGGUAAGGCCCUUUCGGGGGUACACGAGCGGCGAACGGGUGAGUAACACGUGGGUGACCUGCCCUCAGCUCUGGGAUAAGCCUGGGAAACCGGGUCUAAUACUGGAUAUGACUCCAUGACGCAUGUUGUGGGGUGGAAAGCCUUGUGCGGCUGAGGAUGGGCCCGCGGCCUAUCAGCUUGUUGGUGGGGUGAGGCCUACCAAGGCGACGACGGGUAGCCGGCCUGAGAGGGCGACCGGCCACACUGGGACUGAGACACGGCCCAGACUCCUACGGGAGGCAGCAGUGGGGAAUCUUGCGCAAUGGGCGAAAGCCUGACGCAGCGACGCCGCGUGAGGGAUGACGGCCUCGGGUU
rnacentral:rRNA from 1 species